AAUAAAGCUUUGAAAAUUAAUAUUAAAUAAACCAUAAGUCACAUGACAAUAUUUUAAACAUGAAAGUUGAUGAGCAGAACGAGGCGAACUCGGUACAAUAUCCAUUCGUGUGUCACGCUUCCCUAGCAUAGCAAACGAGGAACUUUUCCACCGUUUCUUCUCACCGGUAGUAGCCAGAGACCCGGGAAAUAUCAUCUGAUAUUUUCCCGAUCCGUCUAUGACGGAUGUUACUACGUUAGCUCAUGCCUAGCGCUGCCUUUAGAAAUGUCUUGCUUUGUGAUGCUUUUGAUUGCUCUCUUAUUUAUUGUGUUUCCCCUACGUUACUUCCUUUCCGGUAGACCUCGAGACCGAUGAUGUUCUGGUGAUCGACUACUUCCCGGUCGAGGAUCCAUUUGCAGAGCAACCAGGCAAGCAAAC
rnacentral:lncRNA from 1 species